GCUUAAUAUUCCCUUAACAACACAACGUAAUUAAAACGUUUUGCUGAUUUUACAGAGUUAUCUCUCUGUAGUGUUAGGUACCACCUUAAAGAUAUAUGCAAAUCAUAAACAAAAUCAAAACUACAAAAAAUAUAAUCAACAUGGAAUGUUUUUGUGUAGGAACUCCAAAAGGUCACUUUAUACUGAAAUAAAUGUAUCUGAGGACACAAGCUUUGCAGUUUUUCAAGUUAAAAGGAGGCAUAAUUCUAGAACUGUAAAUGACUCACAAACCAAAUUCAAAAACUCUGUGAUGUGGUUUUUAUCAAUGCGUAUGACUUGCAUAGAAUUUGCAUGUCAGAGGCAAACUAAAGCUAGAGUACAGAAACUAAAAUGGGACUGAUAGAAGAACUGAUGGGAAGAAAGGAUGAACAGACAGACAGUCAAGUAUAACAUGUAAUGCCCCAAGGCCGAUGGCAGCUGCAUCAAAAGGAAUACAAAACACACAAAAAUGAUAAAAAUUAAACAUCUAGGCUUUAUUAAUGUAAGGAUAUGUGGUAUGAUUGCCUAUGAGACAACUAUCCACAAGAGUUCAAAUGAAGAGAAUGUAAGCAAGUAUUUUCAACCAUAUGGCUUUCAACACUGCAUAGUCAACUUUAAAAGGCUCCAACAUAAAAGAUGGGAAACAAUUUCAGUGGCGGAUCAAGAACUUUUCCUAAGGGGGG
rnacentral:lncRNA from 1 species